rnacentral:lncRNA from 1 species
UUAAGGAGUUUUAUUCCUGAUUCUCAGUAACAAGCUUGUGGAAAAUUGGCAGGUUUGCUGUGGAGAAUAGAUAAGACUGGUUGGGCAAGGAUGAGUUGAGGCACUUGCUUAUAUUACACCUGACUUGAGUGAGGCUUAAGCACUUUAUGGUGUCCGGGCUCAAGUGUAGAGCUCCCAGUAUAGUGCCUCAGCAAAGUAGAGACUGUGCUCCCACAUCAUAUGGAGAUAGGGCCUCAGCCCCCUUAUCCACACACAGCAAGCUGUAUUAGAAGUAGACAUCUGGUCCUGUGAGGAGAUGUGUGGCCAGCAGGCCAAGGAAGGGAAUUCUGUCUCUCUGCUCCACUCACAAAACUCCACCUGCAGGACUGCAUUCAGGUCUGUGGCCCCCAGUGUAACAAGGGCAUGGAGCUGCUGCAGCAAGUCCAGAGGUGGCCAUGAAGAUGUGCCAAGGGCUGCAGCACUUCUGCUGUGGAGACAAGCUGGGAGAGCUGGAGAUGUUCAGCCUGGAGAAGGCUUCAGAGUGACCUUACUGUACCUUUCAGUACUUGUAGGGGGCCUAUAAGAAGAUUGGAGGCAAACUUUAACAGGGCCUAUUGCAACAGGAAAAGAUAUGAUCAUUUUAAAGUGAAGAAGGGGGGUUGAUUUAGAUUAGAUUAGAUAUAAAAAAGGAGGCUUUUAUAACGUGGGUGGUAAACUAUUGUCACAGUUUGCCAAGAGAUGUGGUGGAUGCCCCUAGAAACAUUCAAGGCUGGGUUGCGCAGGGCUCUGAGCAACCUGGUCUACUGAAAGGUGUCUCUGCUCAUUGUAGGGGCCUUGGACUAAAUGAUAUUUAAAGAUCCCUUCCAACCCACACUGUUCUGUGAUUCUUUGAUGAUGAUGUGCAGUAGUAAAAUGUUGAUGGGAGUAAUGAUAGUCAAGCAAAGGUCAGAUGGCCUUUACUGCUGCCUCAUCUGAGUGGAGGAGGAAGCAAUACUAAAGUAUCAUGUUUCUGUUCUUCCUUUGAUUCAAUCCUAACUCAGCCUGACCAACAGUAACCGAAACCCUCAUUAUCCCUCAUUUACCUAGGAAACAGACACCAGCAUGCAACUGAGAAAGUGCCUUUGUCCCCCUUACCUAAGAUGAAAGUAACAGGUAACCAAUUGUAUUUGAUAACAGUCUCACCUCCAUUUAUCUGAAAAUACAAAAUUGAUAUUUGGA